rnacentral:lncRNA from 1 species
CGGUCAUGAGCGGCUCGGACCCUCACAUGAUUAAUUUAUGGAACUUAAAUUUAAUUGGACAUUUGCAUCGCAUUUGAGAUUAUUUUACUAUUAUUUUUCUUUAUUAUUAUUAAGGUUUGGUAUUUACUUACACUUAGUAAUUGCUAAUAAAAGUUUGACCAACUUAUAAAAGCAAUGCUAAGCUUCAGCCUUUAUUCCAUUGAUCAGCCUUACACUUCAUGAACUCCCACCUUUGGUGAGUUCAUGCCACAUUAUUCCCCACGACUUGUUGAGCGAUGAACGUAUGUGAGCUCACUCUUGCUGUCUCACACCCCCCACAGGAGAAGAACAGGUGGUUCAGGAGGAGCCACAAGGCGAGGAGUAUGAUCUGAUCUAGGUGGCGUUUCUCAGUCGACAUUGGCACCGACGAUCCUUAGUUCGUUUUACAUUUAUUCCUUUAUUUUGUAAUAAGUCUUCCGCUAUGUAAUAAGUACUCUGAUGUUUUGUGACAUUUAUCUCUAUACACUCUGUUAUUAUAUAUGUUGUCUUCUUUGGCGCAUGUAUGAGAUGCACCCGGCUUUGUCCUUUAAAACCGGGUGUGACAAUAUGUUAAUCAAGAUACAUUACGCGAGGCUAGGAGCCAGAAAAGGAAGGCUACUAGUCCAACACCUCAGGAGGAGGAGUUAGACCAAGAAAUCAACAGG